UGAGGUAGUGGGUUGUAUCGCU
rnacentral:miRNA from 1 species